rnacentral:rRNA from 1 species
GUCCAGACUCCUACGGGAGGCAGCAGUGAGGAAUAUUGGUCAAUGGGCGGGAGCCUGAACCAGCCAAGUCGCGUGAGGGAAGACGGUCCUAUGGAUUGUAAACCUCUUUAGGCGGGGAGCAAUGCCGGGCACGCGUGCCCGGAGGGAGAGUACCCGCAGAAUAAGCAUCGGCUAACUCCGUGCCAGCAGCCGCGGUAAUACGGAGGAUCCGAGCGUUAUCCGGAUUUAUUGGGUUUAAAGGGAGCGUAGGCGGGUUGUUAAGUCAGUUGUGAAAGUUUGCGGCUCAACCGUAAAAUUGCAGUUGAUACUGGCAUCCUUGAGUACAGUAGAGGUAGGCGGAAUUCGUGGUGUAGCGGUGAAAUGCUUAGAUAUCACGAAGAACUCCGAUUGCGAAGGCAGCCUGCUGGACUGUAACUGACGCUGAUGCUCGAAAGUGUGGGUAUCAAACAGGAUUAGAUACCCCAGUA